AAAAUAGUAAAAACAGUGGAGGCGACUAGAUGUGUUUGAGAUGAGAUGUUUGAGGGCUGUGGUUGGUGUGACACGGAAGGACAGGAUGAAGAAUAAAGAGGUGCGAAGGCGAGCAAGAAUGAGAGAAAAACUAACCAAAAUGGGUAGACGAAUGUUGAGGUGGUUUGGCCACACGGAGAGAAUGGAUGAGGAG